rnacentral:rRNA from 1 species
UACGUAGGUGACAAGCGUUGUCCGGAUUUACUGGGCGUAAAGAGCGCGCAGGCGGUCGUUCAAGUCGAGUGUGAAAGCCCCCGGCUCAACUGGGGAGGGUCACUCGAUACUGAUCGACUUGAAGGCAGGAGAGGGAAGCGGAAUUCCCGGUGUAGUGGUGAAAUGCGUAGAUAUCAGGAGGAACACCGAUGGCGAAGGCAGAUCUCUGGGCCGUAACUGACGCUGAGGAGCGAAAGCAUGGGGAGCGAACAGG